AGAUUGGAGGAAAGAUGAGUGAGAGCAUCAACUUCUCUCACAACCUAGGCCAGUGUGUGGUGAUGCCAGGCAUGCCCUUCCCCAGCAUCAGGUCUCCAGAGCUGCAGAAGACGACGGCCGACUUGGAUCACACUCUUCUCAGAGCCCAGGCCAGGGGCCCCCAAGAAAGGCUCUGGUGGAGAACCUGUGCAUGAAGGCUGUCAACCAGCAGGGCCAUCAGGCACCAAAGGGAUUCUGCCAGCAUAGUGCUCCUGGACCAGUGAUACACCCGGCACCCUGUCCUGGACACGCUGUUGGCCUGGAUCUGAGCCCUCGUGGAGGUCAAAGCCACCUUUGGUUCUGCCAUUGCUGCUGUGUGGAAAAGUAGGCCUCUUCCUGACAGGCAGCUGCAGCACUGCCUGGCGCUGUGCCCUUCCUUUGCUCUGCCCGCUGGAGACGGUGUUUGUCAUGGGCCUGGUCUGCAGGGAUCCUGCUACAAAGGUGAAACCCAGGAGAGUGUGGAGUCCAGAGUGUUGCCAGGACCCAGGCACAGGCAUUAGUGCCCGUUGGAGAAAACAGGGGAAUCCCGAAGAA
rnacentral:lncRNA from 1 species